CAAAUAGAAACCGCUCAAAUUAUUCAAGUUAUCCAAAUGAAUGUAAUGGCCAACUUCGAUACUGCUGGUUUCACGAGGUCAGUGAAAAACGAAAAGACGCGCAGCUUAAUUUGUUUUUAAAAUCAGUUUCAACUAAUCAUGGAUUUAAUCGAGUAUUGCGACAAGGAAUAAGUAUUGCUUACGAUAAAUUAUCUCAUACGGGUAAUAUUUGUAAAUGCAUAUGUGAACGGUCAUUUGAUACGAAUUCUGAUACUCCUCGUGACCAAUUACUUGAUUCCAUAUGUUUCGAUCCAGUUUCAGUUGACGAUGGACAUGUCGCUACGGGGGUUCGAUUCAAAAGAUACGGUAACGUAAUUUAUCUUCAGCUUCAACAAGGAAUUUUCGCUAAUAAAACGAUUGACCCGAGUACUGUCCAAUGGAAAAUACCCAAAAAAUGUGAUAACCAAAAAAAAGUUAUUUAUAAUUUUAAAGACGAUCGUUACGAUGGUUUGAAAAUUCCAUUGCAAAAUUUUUUUCUAC